rnacentral:rRNA from 1 species
UGAGGAAUUUUGCGCAAUGGGAGCAAUCCUGACGCAGCAACGCCGCGUGGGUGAUGAAGGCCUUGGGUCGUAAAGCCCUGUCAGGUGGGGAAGAAUGUCCCGGGACUGAACAGGUUUCGGGAGUGACGGUACCACCAGAGGAAGCACCGGCUAACUCCGUGCC